rnacentral:lncRNA from 10 species
GUAGCUUGCUUCUCUUUUCAUAUGUGUUUGCUUCUCUCCAAAUGACUCAGGGUCACAAGGUUAUUUGGAGAGAACCAAACACAUAUGAAAUCUUGGAUUAGAAUCUGAACUUAGAGGUGAUAUCCAGGAAUUUUCUCAAAACUUCUAUGCAAAGGCUACUAAGUGAGCAAAGAAGUACAGCCUGGAAUGAACCACUGAGCUUCAUUUAUCAUUCCACUCUUCAGACUCUCACCUUAGGUCUUCAGCUAUUUGAGGACCAAAAAAGUACUUGAUUUCUCUUCAGAAUAGGCAUUGUAUAGAAAGUACAGUAAAUGAGAGCAAACGUCAACUUCCCACAUAACUUCCAAAUAUCCCAGAGGCUAACACAAUUCUUGCAGUGAUCAGAAAUGUAACAGAACUGUUAACCAUGCAGGAAAUAAGGCACGGUCAUUGGUAGAUUACAGGUCCACUUCUUGCAACAUGAUGGAAAAUAAUAAUAACAAUAUUUUUUAUCAAAAUUGAGUAUGUACCAAACUUGUUUCUUUUACAUGAUUCCACCGUCUUUCCUCAAUAGUCACAGAACUUCUGGAUUGCAAUUCUAUACAAACUUUUUAAAAAGAAACUUUGACAUUUUACUAGGCACAUCAAAUGUGGUUAGUUUAUGAUUCAUUUAUGGUCCGUGAUGGUGUAAUUACAAUAACCAUGUUUCUUAAAUGAUACUACCUUGUUUUUUUUACCACAUAAAAAUGUGUGUUAUUUCUAGCAAAAGUUAAAAAAUGUGGACAUGGUUGUUGAAAUGCUCAUUUCAAUGUUAAUGUUAAUGAUACUUACAAUUGUGGAUCAUGGCCACAGGUCUCUCCUUCUAGCUUCUCAAGAGUGGUGCCAUCUAAUUGGAGAGAAGGUUGGUAACACCUGGUAUAUAACCCCGUUUUCUGCUGUAGACCCAUCCACAGGAAAAUGAAUGCUGGAAUAUGUGUUUUACAUAGGAUGUCGGACAAAGGAAUUUCAGAUAAAUAAGAUUAAGAGCCAAAUAAUAUAUUUUUUAAAAAUGGGAAUUAUUUGAGUAUCUAGGAAAUGAUGAACUAAAUUUCAUCCCAGUCAUGUGUUUCUGGAUAAUUAAAGGCACCUGCUUGGGAAGCUCUACUCCUCAGCCCUUCCUGAGCAUGGAAAGACAUGACGUGCUCAAGUGACCGCUCUCUCUUUGGUUCCAGUGAUCUGGCAUGUGUUCUUUCUUAAUGCUUAAAUGCAGUGAUCCUUAAUCUUUUUGAAGUGAUAAGCCCCUUCCAGGAUCUCAGGCGAAGUCCCCAGUUGAAACAGGAAAAAUUCCUUUAUCCCCAUGGCGGGUCUUGCUAUGGGGCAGCGGAGUGGCUCGCUUUUUCAGUGCCCCGAGGCUCAGACCUCUAGGGCAGCAUACAGGCGGGCAGGCUGUGGGGCUCCAACCCCAGGGCAGUGUCUAGGGGUGAAUGUUAACAGCUCCGGAAGCCCCAGGGGGAAUGUGUUACAGGGUACUCUUUUAGUUUAGCUAGGUAUACACAGCUCGUGUUAGCUCAAUUAGACCCCUGCCUUAUCACAAGGACAGAGGGCUUUGUGCAUCCCAGGGUUCUUGCCUUGGUGUACCAGAAGCAGAUCACAUCAUGGGCUUGGAGAAUGAGCACAAGGUUGUAUUGAGUGGAGAUAUCACAUGGCGGAAGCCAAAAGGGGAUGGAGUGGGAAGGUUUCUCCUGGAUCCCGGCAGCUGAGCAGCCUGGGCUGUCCUCUCACUGCCGCAGCCAAACUCCACGUUGUUGUUCUGCAAAUCGGUGGCCUGCCGGCAUGCAGGUGCCUGUUACUGUAUUCCUCUCGACAUCCAGCCACCCGUGUGUUCCUCUGCCUAUCUGCUCCUCUCGACGUCCAGCAGCUUGUGUGUCUGCCUGCUAGGGUCUCAGGCAGUUUUAUAGGCCCAGGAUGGGGGCGUGGCAGGCCAGGGCGGUCUUGGGAAAUGAAACAAAAAUGCCUGUCCUCACCUAGGUCCAUGAGGGUGGAGCCCUAGCCAGGGACCAUGGCCUUCCUCUACCCAGCACGUCCCCUGUUCCCUGUCAUUUAAAGGCACCCCGCCCUUCCCUUCCCAGCACUUCCCUUCCAUAUCGGAAGCAUGGUGCAAUGGUCUCAUAUAGAAGAGAAAAGAGCUUAACUGUGGCUGAAACCAGUAUCUUUGCUGCAUAGCAUUUGUUUUAAGGUUUUUCUUUCUCAGCCAAGUUUGUGCAUUUCAGGGCCGUGCAUAAUGUUGCCAACAAAGCUUUCUGGAUGAUUGCUAGUGAAUUCAGAGUUUCACAUUGCCAAGUCCAAUUUAUCCAUCUCAAACGCUCCACCAAAGUUACCUUAUCCUCAAGAAAGCUAUGUCUAUGCUUGGAAGACUAGCUGACUACAAAAUAGAACUCUGCAUUCUGCAAAGCAUGCUCAAUGCCUAUUGCACUUGGAUAAUGCCUUUCUUCAUAGUUAUCCAGCAUGCUCGGGCUCUCUGCCACUCCUGGGAGUGUAGCUCGUCACAGUGAUGUUCACAGCCAGAUCUCCACAAGAGAGGGUUAGAGCUCAACACAUUAGCCUCAGAUAUUCCUCAUAACACAGACACAGGUAAGCAUUAUAUAAAGUUUAACUUAUCAUCCACGCACACGGAUGCAUAUACAUAUACAGAGAUGAUAGCCAACAAAAAAAUAAAGGCAAAGAAAUACAUAUGUUGGUUUUAUAAUCUUUUUAUGUAGAUUUCAAAAAAAAAAAGA